ensembl:lncRNA
UCCAGGUCUGAUAACAUUGAGAGCAUGGUGAGAGAAAACUCGAACAUGGUGAAAGAGAAUACGCUCCAGAUUGAGGGUCUGAAAAGACGAUUGAUUUUGUGUGCGCGGAAAUGAAAGAUAUGAAGGGGAAAGUUUGCGACCUGGAAAAAAAAAAGUAACUAAAGAGGAAGGUCGAGUGGACAACUGCCAACAGAGAAUAUCUGAGUUGGAAAGAUAUUCCAGGAGGUGGAAUCUCAGACUACAUGGAGUCAAGGAGGCUGAGAAAGAAGACGUAAGGGGAAAGGUGAUCGAGAUAUGCCAGUCUGUUCUGCCAGAGCAAAAUCAUAGGCUGCCUGACGUCAUCGACACCGACUCGGAGCCAAGCGACAAGGUAGCACCAGACCCAGAGGCAUCAUCGUGCAGUUCACCUCCCGAAUCUACAGAGAUGCUGUAUGGAAAGCAGCCAAAACAUCCUCCUACCUGCAGGACAAUCAUUUGAGGUUCGCUGAAGAUCUGUCCAGGAGGACAGAGAACGUCGUGACAAACUGUGGCCGAUGAUAGACAAAGCCCGUAAGGAUAGGUCGGCUUAUUUCGUGGGAGGCCGAGGAUUCAUCAGUGGAUCAGAAGUUUUCCUCCUUGAUAGAGACGCUUUUUCAGUCUCCAAAAUGACAUUUCUGUAAGAUUGUUUACAUGGUGAACUUGAUAUUUUCACCCUCAGGUUAAAGUUUUAUUUUGUGUUGAAGAGUGUUUUUUUCUAUAAAAAGCUAGAUUUGAACCAUAGCAGAUAGUUAAGUACUAUAUUUUUAUAAGCUUAGUCACUCAGGGUUUUUACUGUUCUAUUACCUAAAUUGUGCAGCACCCGGUCCCCUUAUUCUAUAGAUCUAUUCUUAGCUGUAGAAGUUUAGAACUUACUUUUUCUCUUUCUUUUUUCUAAUAACUUUGUCUUUUUCAUUUGUUUCUCUUAAUACCAGGGGUUUAAGACAAACAUGUAAACGCAAAGCUUUGUUUUUGUUUGCCAAACAAUUUAAAACAGAUUUUUGCUUUUUCCAAGAGAGUCAUUCCACACCUGCUGAUACAAAUUUUUGGAAAUCUCAAUGGGGUAAUGAAGUCUGGUUGUCCCAUGGCUCUGAGCGUUCUGCUGGAGUUGCCACGCUUAAAAAUUCUUUUUCUGGGGAUGUGUUACAUUCUGACUGUGACACCUUAGGACACUACCUCUGAUCAAUAAUCAGACACAAUAACAGUACUUUCAUUGCAGUAAAUAUAUAUGGUUACAAUAAUAAAACUGAAAAUGAUAAAUUACUUGACUCCUUAGAAGAAAGAAUUACUUUCUGGCUCUCCAAAUACCCAAAUUCAGUCCUCUUAAUUGGUGGAGACUUUAACAUUGCUUUAGAUAAUAUGGUUGAUAGGUGGCCUCCAGGGCAGCAGUCUUCAUACAGUGCAAACUUAAAAAAUUUUAUGGGAAAAUUUAAUGUUGCGGAUAUUUGAGAGAAAAAUUUCCAGACGAUAGACUCUUUACUUGGAGCAAUAAGACAGGAUCCAGGCAAUCACGUAUUGACUUUUGGCUUGUUUCUGACUGUAUUGAUAAAGAUAAUAUUACUGUUAAUAUACUUGCCACCCCCCUCACUGAUCAUAGAGCAAUUCACAUUAGCGUCCAAAUGUUUACACUAGAUAAUAUACCUCAUAAAUUCUCUUAUUGGAAGUUAAAUAAUUCUUUACUAAAAGAUAAGAUGGUUAACAUGCAGAUUAAUAAAUUAAUUGUUUAUUAUUGGAAUAAAGCUAACAGAGAGAAGUCCUUUUGUACCAAUUGGGAAGUUUUUAAAUUUGAAGCAUGCAAAUUCUUGAGAAGAUAUGGGAGUCAAAUUACUAAAUUAAGGAAAGCUGAAGAACAAGAAGUGAUAAGCAGAAUUGCCUCUUAUUACCAGAAGUCCCCAGAAGAAAUCUCAGAGGAAGAUAAAUUAACUUUACUAGAACUUCAAAAUAAAUUGGACGGUUUAUAUCGACGCAAGGCUGAGGGUGCUUUUGUAAGAUCCAGGAAGAGGUGGCUGGAGGAGGGUGAACAAAAUUCUGCUUACUUUUUCAGGCUUGAAAAAUACAGAUCAAAAACAAACUCUAUUCAUCAACUAAAUAUUAAUGGCGUUGUCUCCGACAAUCCUAGAGAAAUUUCAUAUUUCUGUGC